AAUGGAUCUGCCUUCAGUGUUUGGAACAUCAAUGGUCACUUAAUCCCCCUGUUUCAGAAAUGCAGCCUCUGAAAUCCUCCUGGAGCCCCUGAUACAGAGACCCUCUUUUUCACCUGAGCCAGAGACUCAACCUCCAGACUUCUGCUGAGAAUGGGGAUGGCCCCAACCUGACCCUGAGCAGCAUGAAUGUGUGCUAAAAAUAGCAGCUAUACAAUGCGGCAGGCGGCCCGGCGAGACUCUGCGUUUAAAUGGUUUUCUUACCAGCGGUUUCAGAGCACUUUCCUCUCAUGAAUUAACCCUCAGAGGAGCCCUGGAAGGGAGCUGACCAUCUUGGCUCAAAAUCCUCUUCAUGAUUACUCCACAGUGUCUGGAUUCCCUCAUACUAACAGGGCUGCUGGACAUCCCAGAGUUCCUAAGAUGCUUAGACUCAUUAAGUUCAACUCUAACCCUCAAAAAGGAGGAUGAUAGACAGUGUAUUUUUCCCAGUACAUUUAGAACCACGAUUCAUCUUCAUGAGAGAGAGAAACAAUCAAGAUUAGUCUCACGGAAAUUCUCUUAAGUACUGUGUGAUAACUGGUUGCACCACUGGAGCUG
rnacentral:lncRNA from 1 species